UAAUCGAUGUUCAGCCACUGUUGGUAAACUUUCCUCCUUCCUUCACUUAGGUUAACUUUUAUGCUCUGCUGACUCCUUCGAUUGAUCUUCUUCCUCCGCCACCGACUGUCCCAAACUCCCAAUUUCCACUUCCGUCACUGCCAUUGCUGCUACCGCUAGCUGCAUCUCGAGUUUCUUCACUUCCUCCCACUUCAGCCACAGUCAUCGGUGCUACUGCUAGCUGCAUCUCCACCGCUUCCGCCAUCUCCACUUCAGCAACCUCCAAGAUCUUGUAGUGCUAAGGGCAGGUUGGGAAGAAAGGCAAGUUCCAAGGAAAGGCAGAGGAGCAAAGCUGCGAAAAAACAGAGCAAGGAAGGUUCAUCUGAAAAAGUUAAUCUUCUCCACUUCAGCAACUUCACCGCGAGAGACCACUGUUGGUUUGUAGAUCCAUUGCUGGCAUUAGUGAAGUUAUCAUAAUUUGUAUUAAUGGAUUUUUGUGGACAUUUGGAUAAUUUGUAUUAGUGGAUAAUUUUUGGAUAAUUUGUAUUAGUGGACAUUUGGACAUUUAUGAUUGUAUUAGUGCAUAAUUUGUAGGCCGCAAAAUCAAGAAUAUGUGAAAAAUUGUAGUUAUUUCAUGCGCAAAUUUUG